CUUGUUUUUUUACAAGAGUGACGGGCGAUAUGUGCAUAUAAAAUUUCAUUUUCAAUAUUCAUUCUUUUUUAUUAAAAUUUAAUUUUAAGUUCUAUUUCAUUUUUAUUUAAUUAUUAUCCAAUUAUUUAAAUUGUAUCACACUUCAUUCUGAAAUAUAAUUUUCGUAUUGAUUUGUUUUUCUAUUGCUUAAUAUUAAAAAAAAUAUAAUUCUUUUUAUUUUUUUAAAACAAUGAUAUAAAAAAUAAAAUUUUCAGAACAUUUAAUAGUGGGUUGUCUAUUACUUAGCAGGAUCCCCUAAAUAGGUUUUAUACCGCCAUUUUAAAUCAUUUUUUCUUAAUUUAGAUACUUUUUUAGUUAAUUUAAAA
rnacentral:rRNA from 1 species